GUGGGGAAUAUUGGGCAAUGGGCGAAAGCCUGACCCAGCAACGCCGCGUGAAGGAAGAAGGCCCUCGGGUUGUAAACUUCUUUUAAGAGGGACGAAAGAAAUGACGGUACCUCUUGAAUAAGCCACGGCUAACUACGUGCCAGCAGCCGCGGUAAUACGUAGGUGGCGAGCGUUAUCCGGAUUUACUGGGUGUAAAGGGCGUGUAGGCGGGAGUGCAAGUCAGAUGUGAAAAUUAUGGGCUCAACCCAUAACCUGCAUUUGAAACUGUUCUUCUUGAGUGAUGGAGAGGCAGGCGGAAUUCCGUGUGUAGCGGUGAAAUGCGUAGAUAUACGGAGGAACACCAGUGGCGAAGGCGGCCUGCUGGACAUUAACUGACGCUGAGGCGCGAAAGCGUGGGGAGCAAACAGGAUUAGAAACCCUUGUAGUCC
rnacentral:rRNA from 1 species